rfam:Picea glauca, whole genome shotgun sequence.
GCCCGUCUAGCUCAGUUGGUAGAGCGCAAGGCUCUUAACGUUGUGGUCGUGGGUUCGAGCCCCACGGUGGGCG